CUUAAAGCAAUCGUUUCGAAUUAACCUGCGCGUUUUAAUAUUUUGCUCGAGCGGUAAGGUCAGUUUUCGAUAUAAACGUUUUUUUACAAGAUGUUUCUUAAGACUGUAUUACUACUGGCUAUUGCAGGUUAUGCUGUUAAUGGACAAUUUGAUACCAGUUCUUGUGGAGACUUUAAUUCCAAAAUUGACCAAUGUUAUACAGAUAAUGGUCUGGAAAUACGUUCUGAUGUGCGAUCACUGUCAGCUGUACAAAAAUUGUUCCUUCAAGACACAACUGAUAUAUGCGGUUCAUUGAAAGAAAAAUUUAAGAAUGCCGUGGGUUGUUUUAUUGACCUACUUAGAAGAUGUAUAUCGGAUAACGAGAAGAAAUUGGUAGCUACUUCAAGUAAUUAUAAAGCAGCAUAUGAUCUACUCUGUAGUGACGGACCUACCGAUAGAACCUGUGUUGGACAAUACGUAACAAAUUGUUUAGGCAGUUUAUUGACUGCUGACGGCCUCGAUCCACGAGGGCCAUACACCAGCGACACUUACGACCUCAAAAAGAGUCAGAUGUGCAAGCAGGCGGAAUAUUAUUUGACCUGUGUAAACAAAACACCAGUGGAACCGAAGUGUAGAGCAACCUCCAUAGAAAAGGACCGUAAAAUAGUUACCAAACUAUCACCUGAAGCAUGCGGGGCUAUGUCCAUAAUUUACACAUCCCUACUUUUGGCCGCUUCUCUUUUUGUCGCUGUCUGUAAUGUCAUUGUAUAAUAUUGUCCACAGUCUGUUUCUAUUCUUGUAUUUUUGUUACAUUCUCUUAAUUAUAUAUUUAGUAUGUUGUCUGUUAUAUGCGUAUGAUCCGUUAACAUCCUCUAUACGAUUGAUUGUUCAGAAUUCAUGAUGAUUUUAAAUCGGAUAUUUUUUAACUGCUCAAGUAAAUAUGGUUCUCUGCAGGUUAUAUCAACAUAUUAGCCAUUUUUGUUUUGGAAUUAUGUCUUUACUCAUUGCGCCCAUCUAUCAGUUCACAAACAGUUUAAAUUCAAUAAAGAUCAGAUGUAAUUAAGGUUUGUUUUUACUUCCUGGAAUUGUUGUGCUAGUUGUAAGGAAGCAUGUGUUGAACAAUUAAAAGAAGGAUUUCUAAAUCACCCAUGAUUAGUGACUAUGCCAGUAUAAUUAAUUGUGAUUUGCAAUUUUAAUAGUAUCUGCCAUUUAAUUAGUCUACCACAAUAAUGAACACUAUUACAUAUCGAAUAAUUAGCCUACCACAGUAAUGAACACUAUUACGCAUCGAAUAAUUAGCCUACAACAAUAAUGAACACUAUAACACAUCGAAUUCCGUCUCCUGCCAUUCACACUCUGUACAUAUUCCAAUUAUCAGAGCGGUUGAGGGAAUAAAGCACAAAUUUUGCUCACGAAGCAUCCCUUAACUAAAGCUUCUGGCGGACGUUUAUAUUUUACAGUAUUAUUGUAUUCCGUAACUUCCAGGGGCCGGUUGCUCAAAAUUAAGUUAUUUUAACGCUCCGUUAAACUCUAACGGAUCGUUAUCUUUGUAACUUGUCGUUUGUUAACGUUCCGUUAAAUUUCUGUUGCUGGAAAGUCACUUUCAUUAUCCGUUAGCUAACAGAAUCAUUAAAGUUAAUCCAAGAGAAUACUGUUUGUUCAUUGGCUGAAUUUUAAAUUUUUAAAUUCAAUGUACAUGUAUAACAACUUCAUAGAAGUUGAUAUUAACAAGAAACUGAAGACAGUGAGACUACUGUGCAGCCUGUUCACAAAACUUGAUUAAGGACAAAAAGAUAACUGUAGAAUUUACUACAGAAAACUCUAUAAAAAGCUAUAGAAUACUUUAUGUUUGCCUUUAGAAAUUUUAGCAACUAAUGCCAUCAUUAAACAGAUAACGGAACUCAACACCUCCGUUAAAUAUAACGCCAAGUUAACUACACGUUAAAGUUAACGGGGCUUCCAGCACCAACCUUUCUCUCCGUUAAAGUUAAAGUUAACUCCAUGUUAACGGAUCGUUAAAAGAUAACGGAACUUUGAGCAACCGGCCCAUGAUCACAAAUCCACCUAACUAAACCACUACGUUCGUUAGUCUGAUACACACUCUAGAGCGGUUCAUGGAACACUGAAAGUUAUUCCAUUGGUAUAUUCUUCUAAAUUAUCCCAUAUAAUAUUGAUUAUCGUUGUAUACGCGACCGUGUGUGUUUUCCGUUACUGCAAAUCUACAUUGUAUCAAUUUUGUUGUACUUUUCUAUUUAACGUUUAUUGUUCUUUUUAAAUAAUAUUUUAUGUAAUCUUUUCUAUUUUCUAUCUUGAAUUUUAUGUGAUUUUAUAUUAAAGUAAUCUUA